rnacentral:rRNA from 1 species
UUUGAUCUCAAAUCAGGUAGGACUACCCGCUGAACUUAAGCAUAUC